AGGCAAUGAAGAAAGAAAUCAUUUCUCGAUGCUGAUUAUAACGAUAUCAACGUUUUAUACAUUUUUGAUGACCUAUUUGUGCGUGUCUGAGCCUC
rfam:Capsicum annuum cultivar Zunla-1 chromosome 2, whole genome shotgun sequence